CCCUUAGAUGUUCUGGGCCGCACGCGCGCUACACUGAUGCAUUCAACGAGUUUCUUCCUGGUCCGAGAGGAAUGGGUAACCUUUUGAAAGUGCAUCGUGAUAGGGAUAGACUAUUGCAAUUAUUGGUCUUCAACGAGGAAUUCCUAGUAGACGUAGUUCAUCAGACUGCAUCGAUUACGUCCCUGCCCUUUGUACACACCGCCCGUCGCUCCUACCGAUUGAAUGCUCAGGUGAGCCAUUCGGACUUUCAUCAUGCUGGUUUCCAGUUUUGAUGAAGGAAAGUCUUGCGAUCCUUAUCAUUUAGAGGAAGGAGAAGUCGUAACA
rnacentral:rRNA from 1 species